CCUACGGGUGGCAGCAGUGAGGAAUAUUGGUCAAUGGCCGGAAGGCUGAACCAGCCAAGCCGCGUGAGGGAGGAAGGUGCAGAGCGUCGUAGACCUCUUUUGCCGGGGGACAAAACGCCGCACUCGUCCGGUCCUGAGGGUACCCGGAGAAAAAGCAUUGGCGAACCUCGUGCCAGCAGGCGCGGUAAUACCGGGGAUGCGAGCGUUAUCCGGAUUUAGUGGGUUUUAAGGGUGCGCAGGCGGGCCGUUAAGGCAGCGGGGAAAUGGCGGUGCUCAACCCCGGCGAGCCGUUGGAACGGGGGGCCUUGAGUGAGGCGGAAGCAGGCGGAAUGCGCGGUGUAGCGGUGAAAUGCAUAGAUAUCGCGCAGAACCCCGAUUGCGAAGGCAGCGUGCCGGGGCGCCACUGACGCUGAGGCACGAAAGCGCGGGGAUCGAACAGGAUUAGAUACCCCUGUAGUC
rnacentral:rRNA from 1 species